AUGGCAACCUCGCCGGUGUGUUCAAUUUGCAAUGCUGCAGUCGAUACUUGGCGACAUUCGUUAUUUGAGUGCCGGAUGGCCAGGUGCGUCUGGGCACUUGGUGAUGAAGAGAUUUUGGAGCAUAUAAUUUCAAAUCAAACUGAAGACGCUCGUCUAUGGCUCUUUUGGCUCUUCGAAACAAUGAAUCAAGAGGAUCUGGCUCGGGUUCUGGUUACCCUUUGGGCAAUAUGGUGGGCGAGGAGACGAGCCAUUCAUGUUCCGCCAGAACAGCGCCGAAGGACGAACAAAUGGAUUCCUCCAGAAGGAAACAGUUUGAAGAUCAAUGUUGAUGGGGGACUGUCACGCAACGGCAAGUCAGGUGCAGCAGUGGCGAUUUGCAGAGAUAAGGCGGGACAAUUCUUGGGAGCCUCAGCCGUCAUCUUCGACGGACUGACAGACCCUGCGAGCCUAGAAGCUCAUGCAUGCAACGAGGCGAUGGCACUAGCCCAAGACCUGAACCUCCGAGAUGUGGUGAUUGGCUCAGACUGCUUAGAGGUGGUAACUAGUAUCAAAAAGGGAGCAACAUCAGUUUAUGCACCAAUUCUGAAUAAGAUACACCAUCGUAGUCAGGAGUUUCAGCAAGUGCAGUUUCUGUUUGAGCCCCGUGAAGCAAAUUUCGAAGCUCGCUUGUUAGCUAAAGCUGCAUCUUCUCUUGCAGCUGGUAGACAUAUGUGGCUAGGAGUGUUCCGAACAUUAUUUGUAUUCCACAUUUUUUGCAUAUUGAAUAAAUUCCCUGGUUCACCUAAAAAAAAAAAGCUUCGACACUGUAGCCGCUAA
rnacentral:rRNA from 1 species